CCUACGGGUGGCUGCAGUGAGGCAUAUUGGUCAAUGGACGAGAGUCUGAACCAGCCAAGUAGCGUGAAGGAUGACUGCCCUAUGGGUUGUAAACUUCUUUUAUAUGGGAAUAAAAUGUUCCACGUGUGCGCUUUUGUAUGUACCAUAUGAAUAAGGAUCGGCUAACUCCGUGCCAGCAGCCGCGGUAAUACGGAGGAUCCGAGCGUUAUCCGGAUUUAUUGGGUUUAAAGGGAGCGUAGGUGGGUUGUUAAGUCAGUUGUGAAAGUUUGCGGCUCAACCAUAAAAUUGCAGUUGAUACUGGCAGUCUUGAGUACAGUUGAGGUGAGCGGAAUUCGUGGUGUAGCGGUGAAAUGCUUAGAUAUCACGAAGAACUCCGAUUGCGAAGGCAGCUCACUAAACUGUAACUGACACUGAGGCUCGAAAGUGUGGGUAUCAAACAGGAUUAGAUACCCCUGUAGUC
rnacentral:rRNA from 1 species